AAAGAAUGUUUGUUAUCUGAAAUUUAACCUCAUUUCAAUUAUUGGUUAGAAGUCUAUGGUAUUUUUUUUUUUGGGAGGGGGGAUUUUUAAGAUGUUGCCUAUUGGUGGGGGAGAAAUGAUGUGAAAAUAUAUUAUCCUGUUUAAACUGAAUAUAAAGCUACUGAGAUCUUUGUGCUGGCACAUCAUGUAAUGAGAAUUGAUUAUGGAUGGAUGUAUGGAACAUCCAUCUGGUUAUUUCUGAUUUGCUCUGUUUUACCCUUAGGUGUAGCUUGUAUUUAGAAUAUGAUGAAUGUAGAUGAUUCUUUCAGUCUCAUUUGUCCCACAAAGUAGCUAAAAAUGGAAGCUUAUGGGAUUAAGGCCAUUUCUAUUCUCAAAUAUAAAUAGUCCAAUACAUUAAAUAUAUUGUAAUUGAAAAACCAUUAAAACUUAACAUAAAAAAGUAAUUAGAUUACACACCAUUAGCCGA
rnacentral:lncRNA from 1 species